UACGGGGGGGGCAAGCGUUGUUCGGAAUUACUGGGCGUAAAGGGCUCGUAGGCGGCCAACUAAGUCGGACGUGAAAUCCCUCGGCUUAACCGGGGAACUGCGUCCGAUACUGGAUGGCUUGAGUUUGGGAGAGGGAUGCGGAAUUCCAGGUGUAGCGGUGAAAUGCGUAGAUAUCUGGAGGAACACCGGUGGCGAAGGCGGCAUCCUGGACCGACACUGACACUGAGGAGCGAAAGCCAGGGGAGCAAACGGG
rnacentral:rRNA from 1 species